UAUCUCUCCGUACGGGGAAGGAUGAGAAGCUUCGACUAAGGUUCGAUUCGAGCGCAGCGAGAAAGCGUUGCCGUAGGCAACGACCCGAAGGGCGAA
rnacentral:sRNA from 1 species